AUCUAUGACCAAAUCACCCUGAAUGUGCUGAAUGUCAUGAUAACUCAAAAGCUAAGUAGGGUUUAGCCUGGGUAGUACUUGUAUGGGUGGAAACUAAAGCAUGCCAGAACUAGGCGUGGGGUU
rnacentral:rRNA from 1 species